CGGUGUUGGCGGGCCAAACAAUGCAAGUCGAGCGGCAGCGGGAAGUAGCUUGCUACUUUUGCCGGCGAGCCGUUUUACGGGUGAGUAAUGCCUGGGAAUUGCCCAGUCGAGGGUUCUAACAGUUGGAAACGACUGCUAAUACCGCAUACGCCCUACGGGGGAAAGCAGGGGCCCUUCUGGCCUUGUGCGAUUGCCCUUGCACGGUUUUUUA
rnacentral:rRNA from 1 species